GACGAACGCUGGCGGCGUGCUUAACACAUGCAAGUCGAACGGAAAGGCCCUGCUUUUGUGGGGUGCUCGAGUGGCGAACGGGUGAGUAACACGUGAGUAACCUGCCCUUGACUUUGGGAUAACUUCAGGAAACUGGGGCUAAUACCGGAUAGGAGCUCCUGCUGCAUGGUGGGGGUUGGAAAGUUUCGGCGGUUGGGGAUGGACUCGCGGCUUAUCAGCUUGUUGGUGGGGUAGUGGCUUACCAAGGCUUUGACGGGUAGCCGGCCUGAGAGGGUGACCGGCCCCAUUGGGACAGAGAUAACGCCCAGACGCCUACGGGGGGGAGGAGUGGGGAAUUAUGCGAAAUGGGCGGAAAGCGGAUGCAGCAACCGCGGGUGGGGGAUGGCGGCCUUCGGGUUGUAAACCGCUUUCGCCUGGGAAGGAGGGUGGGUGACGGGAAUGGGUAAAGAAGCAACGGCGAAAUAAGU
rnacentral:rRNA from 1 species